rnacentral:rRNA from 1 species
AUUGAACGCUGGCGGCAGGCCUAACACAUGCAAGUCGAACGAGUGGCGGACGGGUGAGUACUGUCUGGGAAACUGCCCGCUGGAGGGGGAUAACUACUGGAAACGGUAGCUAAUACCGCAUACCAUCGGAUGUGCCCAGAUGGGAUUAGCUAGUAGGUGGGGUACCGGCUCACCUAGGCGACGAUCCCUAGCUGGUCUGAGAGGAUGACCAGCAACACUGGAACUGAGACACGGUCCAUACUCCUACGGGAGGCAGCAGUGGGGAAUAUUGCACAAGGGGCGCAAGCCUGAUGCAGCCCUGCCGCUUGUAUGAAGAAGGCCUUCGGGUUGUAAAGUACUUUCAGCGAGGAGGCGUUACUCGCAGAAGAAGCACCGGCUAACUCCGUGCCAGCAGCCGCGGUAAUAC